GUGGUUUAUACCCAACCAUUUUGGCUUUAGCAGCAUCAAACAUCAUAUCUGUGGCUGUGACUUUAUUUAUGUGCAGAAAAUCACACAUCUGUCAUCAUAAAGAUGCUGCUGAAGGUCACAGAGUUCAAGUAAGCCAGGCUGCAUGCAAUGAAGCUUUGUACUUUGCAGCAGGGAAUGUCAGCAAUGAAGCAUUAUCCUACAGAGGGACUAGAAAGGUGUCUAAAGACUCUGAAGUGUGCUCCCAGGUCAUAUAUUACCAACAAAACUGAACUUUCUA